rnacentral:lncRNA from 1 species
ACGCGCCGCCUGUCCCGGAGCGCCUCGGCCUGCUGAUGAUGGGUAUGGCCUCCGUUUGUCCAACCGAGCUCUGGUUUGUGAGUAAUUGCAAAAUUUCAGAUUCGGAUUCUAAGUUGAUGAUGCGAAAAUCAGCCGAUUUUGAGCCGUUUUUUGCCACCCAAGCUCUGAUACCAGAUGUUAGGACCUUCCUCUUGCUGCUCACGCUGAUUCCCGGGCUCAGUUAACCAUUAAAACCGAGUUUCAACAUCAAACUGGAAGAACCCAUACCGCCGGCUACUCUUCUUCCUAUGGUUGCUUUCUUCUCUUGCUUGGUUGAUUAAAUCCACACACUUAGGAUGGAUACCACUCAGGUAAGGUUCACAAAGACUCAAGCAAUU